GCAGUGGUGGUUCCGUGGUAGAAUUCUCGUUUUCCACUUGGGAGACCCGGGUUUGAUUCCCAGCCAAUGUA
rnacentral:tRNA from 1 species